rnacentral:rRNA from 1 species
AGGACGAACGCUGGCGGCGUGCUUAACACAUGCAAGUCGAGCGGUAAGGUCUUUCGGGGUACACGAGCGGCGAACGGGUGAGUAACACGUGGGUGAUCUGCCCUGCACUCUGGGAUAAGCCUGGGAAACUGGGUCUAAUACCGGAUAUGACCUGCUCUCGCAUGGGGGUGGGUGGAAAGAUUUAUCGGUGCAGGAUGGGCCCGCGGCCUAUCAGCUUGUUGGUGGGGUAAUGGCCUACCAAGGCGACGACGGGUA